UAUUUAAUUGUUUCAGUGAUUUUUUGCAAAAAAAUCCUUUUUAAAACAAUUUUUGAUUAUAUAU
rnacentral:tRNA from 1 species